rnacentral:rRNA from 1 species
CAGGCUUAACACAUGCAAGUCGAGGGGCAGCAUGGUCUUAGCUUGCUAAGGCCGAUGGCGACCGGCGCACGGGUGAGUAACACGUAUCCAACCUGCCGUCUACUCUUGGACAGCCUUCUGAAAGGACGAUUAAUACAAGAUGGCAUCAUGAGUCCGCAUGUUCACAUGAUUAAAGGUAUUCCGGUAGACGAUGGGGAUGCGUUCCAUUAGAUAGUAGGCGGGGUAACGGCCCACCUAGUCUUCGAUGGAUAGGGGUUCUGAGAGGAAGGUCCCCCACAUUGGAACUGAGACACGGUCCAAACUCCUACGGGAGGCAGCAGUGAGGAAUAUUGGUCAAUGGGCGAGAGCCUGAACCAGCCAAGUAGCGUGAAGGAUGACUGCCCUAUGGGUUGUAAACUUCUUUUAUAAAGGAAUAAAGUCGGGUAUGGAUACCCGUUUGCAUGUACUUUAUGAAUAAGGAUCGGCUAACUCCGUGCCAGCAGCCGCGGUAAUACGGAGGAUCCGAGCGUUAUCCGGAUUUAUUGGGUUUAAAGGGAGCGUAGAUGGAUGUUUAAGUCAGUUGUGAAAGUUUGCGGCUCAACCGUAAAAUUGCAGUUGAUACUGGAUAUCUUGAGUGCAGUUGAGGCAGGCGGAAUUCGUGGUGUGGCGGUGAAAUGCUUAGAUAUCACGAAGAACUCCGAUUGCGAAGGCAGCCUGCUAAGCUGCAACUGACAUUGAGGCUCGAAAGUGUGGGUAUCAAACAGGAUUAGAUACCCUGGUAGUCCACACGGUAAACGAUGAAUACUCGCUGUUUGCGAUAUACUGCAAGCGGCCAAGCGAAAGCGUUAAGUAUUCCACCUGGGGAGUACGCCGGCAACGGUGAAACUCAAAGGAAUUGACGGGGGCCCGCACAAGCGGAGGAACAUGUGGUUUAAUUCGAUGAUACGCGAGGAACCUUACCCGGGCUUAAAUUGCAGAUGAAUUACGGUGAAAGCCGUAAGCCGCAAGGCAUCUGUGAAGGUGCUGCAUGGUUGUCGUCAGCUCGUGCCGUGAGGUGUCGGCUUAAGUGCCAUAACGAGCGCAACCCUUGUUGUCAGUUACUAACAGGUUCCGCUGAGGACUCUGACAAGACUGCCAUCGUAAGAUGUGAGGAAGGUGGGGAUGACGUCAAAUCAGCACGGCCCUUACGUCCGGGGCUACACACGUGUUACAAUGGGGGGUACAGAGGGCCGCUACCACGCGAGUGGAUGCCAAUCCCCAAAACCUCUCUCAGUUCGGACUGGAGUCUGCAACCCGACUCCACGAAGCUGGAUUCGCUAGUAAUCGCGCAUCAGCCACGGCGCGGUGAAUACGUUCCCGGGCCUUGUACACACCGCCCGUCAAGCCAUGGGAGCCGGGGGUACCUGAAGUGCGUAACCGCGAGGAGCGCCCUAGGGUAAAACUGGUGACUGGGGC